rnacentral:rRNA from 1 species
AGAGUUUGAUCAUGGCUCAGGAUGAACGCUAGCUACAGGCUUAACACAUGCAAGUCGAGGGGAAACGACAUCGAAAGCUUGCUUUUGAUGGGCGUCGACCGGCGCACGGGUGAGUAACGCGUAUCCAACCUGCCCAUCACUUGGGGAUAACCUUGCGAAAGUAAGACUAAUACCCAAUGACGUCUCUAGAAGACAUCUGAAAGAGAUUAAAGAUUUAUCGGUGAUGGAUGGGGAUGCGUCUGAUUAGCUUGUGGCGGGUAACGGCCACAAGGCGACGAUCAGUAGGGGUUCUGAGAGGAAGUCCCCCANAUUGGAACUGAGACACGGUCCAAACUCCUACGGGAGCA